CGGGGAUCCUCCGCGUGGAGAGAGCACCAGAGGCUCCUGGGGUGCGCGGCUUGAGGGGACCCCACGACCGCCGUCCCCGCCCCGGGCCGCCUCGUCGCCAUCCCUACGGGCGGCGGUGGAUGGAGCCCCGCAGCCCGGCUCCCCGCGGGUUUGAGGUUCGGGCAGCAGCCAGGACAGCAUUUCCAAGGCCAGGACAUGAAGGUCGCUGUGUUGGACCUUGGGUCUCUCUUUGCCAAAAUCUUCAAGACCUCUACGGCGCCCGCGGCGGUUCCCUCGCCGGUCGCCUCCUCCAGCCACUCGCGAGGCGCAGCCACCGCAGGGCCGGCGGGCAUCGGGGCGGGCACAUGGCUUGGCACGGCCCCGCCCUUGACCCUCUUUCCAGCCCUGGCGCCCGACUCCCGCUCCGGUUCGCGGGGGACACCAGCCCUGCAGCGGCCGACACCCGCCCCGCUCCGUCCUCUGCUCGCCGCCUCCCACCGCCGGGUCUCGGUCGCGAGCCGCACGGCAGAAGCGGGAGGGACGCCCCUCUGGCUGCCCAGUAGCCCGAGAGCAGCCAAAGUCCGGUCCUGGCCCCCGCCCCUGCCCGCGGCCCCCUCCAGCGGCGUCUGCGGCGCAGCCGGCUCCCCAGCCCCCCAGGUGGCCGUGGCGCGGCCGCCCCCGGGCCCUGGCGGGGUCUUGGCGGCGCUGCCGUCCAUCGGGGGCUCCGCGGGCAGCGGCAGUGUGACCGCGAGCGCACGGAACCCUCGCCCGCCCGGCCCCGGGGAGCGAGAGCCCGGCGCUCGGGUGCCCCCCGAGCCUGGCCCCAAGACCCUGUUCUUCACCCUGCCGGACCUCGGCGAAGAGUGGGCCUCGGACAGCGACUCGGAGGACAGCCGAGAAGCAAGAGGACUGCCAGAAGGAUCUGGAAAGCAGAGUUUUCCUGUGAAAAGCAAAGAUCCUUUACCUACACAUUUUACAAGAAAUGUACAGAAAGCCAUUGAUAAAUAUACCCGUGAAUCCGUGUCAUCAUUUUCAUCAAAUGGAAACCCCAUGCCCACAGAAGCUCCCAACUCCUGGUCUGGGUCUGGGACACAGAGUUCAACCACAGGCUUAUCAACCGAGAGGAGCUCCAUUUACUCUUGGAGAGAUGAUGAGUUUGACAAAGCCAAUGCACAGAAAGUACAGCAGUUAUUCUGGGAGGUCGAGGAAAUGUUAUUUGAAGGGAAAGUAAGCCCUCAGACCCAGAAUCUACGGGCUGAAUGCAGUGAGUGGGCAAGAAGGUCCCUCCAUCUGAGAGUAUUAGGAAGACAGCUUGUCCUGCCCACUGAUGAAGGGGUCCAGCAUUUUCAGGGCAGCAAACCUGCUUCUGCCGUCCACAGACCCUUCUCUGACGACUGUGAACCCAGCAGCAACAUCAGAGAGCUGUGCAUCUCUGGCUCUCAAAUAGUCCCGGCGGCACUCUCAGCCCUCACCCUGCCAGGUCCUGUUGGCACAGGGAUUGCGGACCUCACGGCAUGUUCAUCCCUGGAAGAAGAGGUUUAUGAUGUGGAUGGGAAGAUUGAAGAGUAUUUCGCUUUUGACAGAAAAGAAGAUGACGAGGACUGUCUUGAACAAAACCCAGCUCAGCACCACAGGACGUGGCAUAAGCACGGACUUCCUCCUGUUUCCCCACAUGACUGUGUCAGAGACGCGGUGGCUGCAGAAGUGUUUGAUCACAUCUGGACAGCUGUGGUGGAAAUACUGGAAAAGCUGACUAGAAAAAACUGGGAAGUUACACUCACAGAAGGAAAAAAACAGAAAGAAAAAUUGAAAGUAGCUGAGAAUAAAUCUCCACCUAUGGUCGUUUCCUGUAUUAAUGCUGAUGUGUCCAGUGUUCCCCCGUCCAGAAGUUCUGAAACUCGAAGUGUAUCCCUGGCUUCUCAUCUUAACCCACCUCAGAUUCAUCGCUUCUCCAAUAAUUUUUAUAGUGACUUGAAUGGUGUGAUGACAAUUCAAGCAAAACCACUUCAGCAGAGACCUACUUAUUUUGCAGAUAGAACACAGAGUGAGCAAGAGGACAGAUCACUGGGUUCAGGGGCCGGUGCUCUUGCCUCGGCCCAGCACCGUCUGGCAAGGAUCUUGGAGGCUCGCGGACUACAGACUUCUGCAAAGAAAACACCGGCAUACAGGAGGCUGCCUUCUCUUACCUCAGAAUCACAGAGAGUAAAAAUCCCCAGCGUGUACAGUGAUGAAGUUCUUAGGGGAACGAAACUGCAAACUGGCGUGGACCGCACGGCCUCCCCACCAUUUCAGACCUCAAGGAGCAGGUUGCCACCAAUAGGCUCAGAGACUGGGGAGCAGAAUAUGGCAGUUCCCGGAUGGCGUCCUGUUUCUUCAGAUACACCCCGAAAAGGUUCAUUGACACUGAGGGAAUUUGCUGGUCACACAUGGACAGGUCAAGGUUUUUUGACAGGUCGGUGUUCUCCAUAUACAAAUAAAAUGAUGUAAUACGUGAAGUUUCAAGUUUUGGAAAGAGAAAUUGGAGAUUAUCGACCUUGAGAGGACAAUUUUGACCAAGAGUUUGUCAUCUAUGGCUAUAUCUCAGGAAUCUCCAUAAAGAGCAAAACUGCAAAGACAAGCACUUCUCUGCUGUUGGUUAAAAAAACAAAAAGUAACUGAGUAAAUCUGAAGAUCGAAGUGGUUUUGGUUCACAAUUUCCACCUAAAUCUUUUCAGAGGACAACUCUGACUUUCAGAAAGAGAUUCCAAGUGGCGUGUUGAUGUGACUUCACCAGGACUGCAACACCUGCUGAAGCAUUCAAAGCCUCGGUACACCGUUUAUCACUUGAAAAAUACAAGAAGUAUUGUUAUAUCUCUGUCUGACAGUCUGAGAUGUUCGACUACCUGGGAGAAAUGCAAACAAAUAAACAACUUAAUUUUGAACACUU